UACGUAGGCGGGAAAUUAAGUCAGUGGUGAAAUCCUGCAGCUCAACUGUAGAACUGUCAUUGAUACUGAUUUUCUUGAAUGCGGUUGAGGUAGGCGGAAUAUGUAAUGUAGCGGUGAAAUGCUUAGAUAUUACAUAGAACACCGAUUGCGAAGGCAGCCUACUAAGCCGCUAUUGACGCUGAGGCACGAAAGCGUGGGGAGCGAACAGGAUUAGAUACCCUGGUAGUCC
rnacentral:rRNA from 1 species